rnacentral:lncRNA from 1 species
CCUCCAUUUCCGUCUUAAGCCACAAAGCUCUAAUCUUGGGAUUAAUUGAUAAAAACAUAAUUCACUUGUCCUUAUUGAGCAAUAAUUUAAGUGAGAAAAAGUAUAGCGGACUAGCUUCUGGAACUUCUUCCGACAUGCUAUCAAGCACUUUGACUGCUUGUGGAAUACCAUAUGGAUCCAUAACAGGAGUCAAACUAGAUAUGGCUUGACUCAUAUU